rnacentral:rRNA from 1 species
UACGUAGGGUCCGAGCGUUGUCCGGAAUUACUGGGCGUAAAGAGCUCGUAGGCGGUCUGUCGCGUCUGCUGUGAAAAUCCAGGGCUCAACCCUGGACCUGCAGUGGGUACGGGCAGACUAGAGUGCGGUAGGGGAGAUCGGAAUUCCUGGUGUAGCGGUGAAAUGCGCAGAUAUCAGGAGGAACACCGGUGGCGAAGGCGGAUCUCUGGGCCGUAACUGACGCUGAGGAGCGAAAGCAUGGGGAGCGAACAGG